rnacentral:rRNA from 1 species
GUCUACAGCCAUGUCACCCUGAACAAGCCAGAUCCUGUCUGAUCUUGGAAGCUAAGCAGGGUCGGGCCUGGUUAGUACUUGGAUGGGAGACCACCUAGGAAAACCAGGUGCUGUAGGAG